AGGAAGAUGAAACUGAAAGUAAAAUUCCCAGCCUUUAAGAGAACACCCUGCAGGCAGGGGACAGAACACCUGACACAGCGGCUGUGGCUUCAGUAUGUCUGGGGUGCUAGCUGGGAUCCUGGCUGGGAGUGUGCUGAUCGCGUGCGCCUUGAUCUGUAUGUUCUGGGACAAUUUACCAUAUGGAACACAAAAGGAAUCGGCGUCCACCCACCAAGAGGACACUGAGUAUCACAGGAGAGACGAGUGGAUGUCAACGAGCAUGCAAGUGGCACCUCGUUUGCAUAGUGACACAAUGAGGUCUCGCGCUCUGUGUAACAGAAGCUAAAGAUUCCAGAGGUGUCUCUCAUGGGGACCAAAAGAAGGCCUAACCUUCUGGACCUCCAGGACCCUGGUUGUCCCUGCCGUGACGACCUAGGGAAAUGUCCCCACCUGAUCACAUAAUCGACUC